rnacentral:lncRNA from 1 species
GCCAUUCAAACGUCCACUACUUUGAUACAAACUUUAAUAUCAUCAAUGCAGAAUAUUCCACAACUAUGUAUAGGAAACCUUCUUACACCUCAAUAUUUAAUCCUGCUUUUCACCUGAUGCCUGGAGCCAUAAAAUGGUUGCCUUCAGAACACUAUUCAAGCACACAUUUACAUAUAGCAUUCAUCAAAAAGAUUGGUACAAAGAAAUUGGGUUUAUUAUCAGACAGGUCAUAUCUCAACAGAUAUAAACCUAAAAGUCUGAUCAAAAUCCUACAGCAAGUUAAAAAUAAAUUCUCCUCUUCAGAAAACAUUGCAUACAGUAAACUCAAUCUAUCACCACUCUCAGAAAAUUAAGUAAAACUAUUGAGCAUUGUACCGGCUAUAAACUCUUUUUAAAGGAAGCGUUCUCUCCUCAACUUGCUGCAUAAUGACAAAGACAAUGUGCCCAUUAUUAACC